GAUCUUGGUUCAGGACGAACGCUGGCGGCGUGCCUAACACAUGCAAGUCGAGCGAGGAGAUCCUUCGGGAUGAUCCUAGCGGCGGACGGGUGAGUAACACGUGGGCAACCUGCCUCAUAGAGAGGAAUAGCCUUCCGAAAGGGAGAUUAAUACCUCAUAACAUUGCAGUUUCGCAUGGAACAGCAAUUAAAGGAGUAAUCCGCUAUGAGAUGGGCCCGCGGCGCAUUAGCUAGUUGGUGAGGUAACGGCUCACCAAGGCGACGAUGCGUAGCCGACCUGAGAGGGUGAUCGGCCACAUUGGGACUGAGACACGGCCCAGACUCCUACGGGAGGCAGCAGUGGGGAAUAUUGCACAAUGGGGGAAACCCUGAUGCAAGCAACGCCGCGUGAGUGAUGACGGCCUUCGGGUUGUAAGGCUCUGUCUUCAGGGACGAUAAUGACGGUACCUGAGGAGGAAGCCACGGCUAACUACGUGCCAGCAGCCGC
rnacentral:rRNA from 1 species